rnacentral:lncRNA from 1 species
AUAGUUAGUAUGUAGGUUUGCUUAACCAAAUCUUUUUAGGCUUCGUUUGGGAUUACGGAGAUAUUGCGUUACGUGCGGUGCCAGUGAAAAAAUACGUUGGAAAAAUAUCAUGUUUGUUUUCGUACGUAAUAUUACAUUCCGCAUAUCGCGAUAAGUCUAUUUUCUGUAAUCCAACCGGAGAACGCAGAAUCAUAUUUCUAUAUGCUUUUUUUUUAACUUUAUUUUAUCUAAUAAUGUUUGAUAGGUCUCAAUACCAAACUAUAAGCCUUACGUGUAGCCUAAAGAUUUUUUGAAUUUAAAAUAAUAAUUGCAAGAUAUAUAC